GUUUUGGAUAAGGGUUGCACUGAGAACUAUAUCUGUCAUAGCCAUACGAAUGGUGCUGAUCACCCAGCUAAGAGCUUUAUUUAAUGUCCACGAUAACCAGUGCAGGAGACCUUGGUAUCCCCAUCUUACAGGGGAUCUUCUCGACCCAGGGAUCAAACCCGGGCCUCCUGCAUCUCUGGGAUUGGCAGGGCUAAUUGAGUCAGAAGAGAAUGAACAACGCGUCUUUCUCCCCACUCAGCAGCAGCAGCAGGAAACAGCUUCUCUAUCACCAACCCAAAACCCUACUCUCCUCCUUACAUGAACAACAGACUCCAGCAACCUCUGUGCCCAAGGAGGUGGUCCCAAAAACCAUGCAUUAACCAUGGGACUGAAGCCAAGUUGCUUUAAGUCUGCAUUCAGAAAGCACAGGCUUGCUCCAACUCUUUGCAAGAGAAUCUGCUGGGAACAGGCAGAUUUCUGCACUAUGCCUCCCACCUACUGACUCAGAGUCUCUGAGGGCAGGACCUGGAAAUGGCAUUUUAAACAAGCUCCCCAGAAGAACCUGAUGCUCCUGGAGUUGCAGAACCACUGGCCUCAGGGUUGCAUGUAAGCACAUAUUCCCACAUCUACCAGAGGCUGAGAGGGAGGAGGAUGGAGAAAGUGGAAAGGGGAUGCUACUCCCCAAAAUGAUGUGAUAUGGAUGUGCCCCAGACCUGGAGCCAACUG
ensembl:lncRNA